UACGGAGGGUGCGAGCGUUGUCCGGAAUUAUUGGGCGUAAAGAGCUUGUAGGCGGUUUGUCGCGUCUGCCGUGAAAGUCCGGGGCUCAACUCCGGAUCUGCGGUGGGUACGGGCAGACUAGAGUGAUGUAGGGGAGACUGGAAUUCCUGGUGUAGCGGUGAAAUGCGCAGAUAUCAGGAGGAACACCGAUGCGAAGGCAGGUCUCUGGGCAUUAACUGACGCUGAGGAGCGAAAGCAUGGGGAGCGAACAGG
rnacentral:rRNA from 1 species